AGCUAUGCCGAAGAAGGGUCAGCCUGGGU
rnacentral:piRNA from 1 species